rnacentral:tRNA from 1 species
GGGGCGGUAGCUCAACCGGUCAGAGCAGCGGACUCAUAAUCCGUCGGCCGUGGGGGCGGACGCGGCCCGG